rnacentral:rRNA from 1 species
CGGGUGCGUAACACGUGAGGAACCUGCCCCGAAGACCGGGAUAGCCCGAGGAAACUCGGAUUAAUACCGGAUACCCUCUUUGGAUCACAUGGUCUAUUGAGGAAAUGGUCCGCCGCUUCGGGAUGGCCUCGCGGCCUAUCAGCUUGUUGGUGAGGUAAUGGCUUACCAAGGCGAUGAUGGGUAGCUGGUCUGAGAGGACGAUCAGCCACACUGGAACUGAGACACGGUCCAG